CCACAUGGCAAUUUGAAAUCAGAAGUGGAAAGACAAUUUCCCCACAGGGAUCAAUGAAGUAUCGUAUUAUCAUUUCCCUCCGGAUAUCUGGAUUACGGCUCAUUUCAGAGCAAUUGAGAAGGGUGUCCAGCCCCCAUGUCUUUGUAUAAACAAAGUACGGGCUGUGGGCGAGCAGGGCAGGGAGGAACGGCAACAAGAGGCGCUGCGUUGCUGAGAUUCCCAAGAUUCCCUGCAGCAGAUUCAGUCUGACAGAGGCCGCUGAUAGUCGACAUGCUUCGCUUGGCCGCACAGGCAGCGACUAGCUGCCAGUUUGAAGAUGGGAUACAAUAUGGAGGUUAUUUACAGCCACUCUGGACUAUGAAUUUAG